CCUUCGAUAGCUCAGUUGGUAGAGCGGAGGACUGUAGAAUUUCCUGGUUAAUGGUCAUCCUUAGGUCGCUGGUUCGAAUCCGGCUCGAAGGA
rnacentral:tRNA from 1 species